rnacentral:lncRNA from 1 species
GUUUUUCCCUUACAUCUACCGGGUGUGGGAACUCACCCAGCGCAUCCGACUGCACGGUUUUUGUGAGCAGUGUCUUGCACCAAACUCCUGUCUCCUCCUGUGACUUAGAAUGCCUAACUUCCUGGGAAUGCAGCACAGGUCUCAGCCUCAUUUUGCCCAGCCCCUAUUCAAGACGGAUUUGCUGUGGUUCAAAUGCUUCUGACAAUAUUCCUCAUGGUGAAUGCUGGAUUUUGCAUGCCCGAGGCCCUGGGCCACACUGUAUGUUUGCUUUUUGCAAGGGCUGUAUGGCUAUGACUAGUUAUGUGGACCCUGCAUUCCUAUGUAAAUGACCCUCCAUAAAAACCCCAGAAAUGAAUGCUUGAGUGAACUUCCCUGGCUUGUAUUAUAAUACUGUGAACAUCUUGUCACACAUCUUUGCUGGGGGAAUUAAGUGUGUCCCUAUGUGACCGUAAUGGGAGAUAACACCCAGAGUUUUGUGCCUGCUUUCAUGUGGACUUCAUUCUAUGUGAUUUUUCCCUUUGGUGAUCCUGGUCUAUAUCCUUUUAUUGUAAUAAACUAUAACCAUAACAG